rnacentral:tRNA from 1 species
GCCGGAGUGAUGAAAUGGCAAACAUAACGGACUUAAAAUCCGUCGGCCUGAAAAGGCCUUGUGGGUUCAAGUCCCACCUCCGGCA